CCAAUAAAAACAAAACUAUUUAUUACCGGCCUGUCAUUCUAUACAUCUGAGAAAACCUUACGAGCAGCAUUUGAAGGCUUUGGCGAGCUUGUUGAAAUAAAAAUUAUAAUGGACAAAAUUUCUAAAAGGUC